rfam:Clostridium pasteurianum BC1, complete genome.
GGAAUCCUGUCAAAGUAAUAUUUAGCAAAUAGCUUUGUAUCGAGUCUUGGAGAUAUUGCGGUAACGUAACAUUUUAAGCGUAGACUGAAAAGGGCACAAAACUUAUGGAUGAGCU